rnacentral:ncRNA from 1 species
AGUUGUUAGUUUACUCAUGGAAUCGCUGAAUUUAAGCCUAUAACCAAGCAGAGAGAAACUAACAGGGAUUUCCCUAGUAAUGGCGAGUGAGCGGGAAAAAGCCCAACGCUAAAUCGUUUUAACCUUUGUCUCUACAGAACUGUAGCAUAUAAAUGUAACUUGGAGAGACUGUGAUUAAAAAAAAUAAAAUAAGCAAAUGCAAUUCGUGUGUUUUGUGCUGCUUUCCACGUGCAAUUUCCUUUGAGCAUCCAGAAUAAUUCUAGCAAUCAUCGAUCGACUGGACAUGCAAAUUUUUCUGGUAAAAUGUGCAUACAGUCGCUGCUCAGUGCUAUAAAAGACGAGCAAAACAAUGAAUGCUGUCAUUGUUCCAUAUUAGUUGUCCAUCAUCGUGCUAACAUCCUGACACAGCCAUGGAUGAUGAAUGUAGCCGUU